rnacentral:lncRNA from 1 species
AGAGGCGGGGGCGCGGACGGCACGCGAGUGGAGGCGAGCCGGCAUGCGGUAGCGCGCGAGCGGAGAUGAGCCAGCGUGCGGGGCCGCAAACACGUGCGAGCGGAGGUGAGCCGGCAUGCGGGGCCGUGGACGCGAGCGGAGGCUAGCCAACAUGUGCGGCCGCUGAUGUCGGCGAGUGGAGUCGAGGUAGCGAGGUAGAGCCAAAGGGGUGAAGUGGAGCGCGCUCGUAGAGACGAGGCGAGGCGAGGUUGGAGACCGGCGGCCUCGUCUCUUUCCAGGUCGGGGUGGUCUUGUCCAAUCCGUGUUGGUAAUUUUGCAAUUGAUGAAUAGAGUAGACCAAUGCUACUAG